GGAGCCGAAGCGGGAGAGUCCCCGUGAACUCGACGGGGCACCGAAGGAGCAAAUUCCCCACAAUCUCUCAGGUACAGCCACCGCUUUCGGCGA
rnacentral:ncRNA from 2 species